GGGGCCCCGGUCUCAGGCGGCCACGAGCAGCACAGAGCGCCUGGGAAUGUGGGAGCAGCACACACUUGGCAGACCCUCGCCUAGGUGGGCGAGCCCUCACCUGCCUUUCCCAGCGACCCCGUGACAGGGCUCGCGCCAUCUGCCCCAGGAAGGCUUCACGCCCAUGGGACGGCUUUGUUCGUGUUACCCGCUAAAUGCAAGACUUCCAAUCGAGGUGGCCGGGGUGGCUCUUCCGGCGGAUGUGAUGUCACUGCUUGGGGCAGCCAGACCUCGGCACCCGUGGCGCUAACUCCUGCUCCAACCAGCAAAAGUCAAGGUUGAGGCGGACUCACGAGGCUCCAUCACGGUCCCCAGUUCCGCCAGCCAGCAGUGUGCAAGGGGGUAGCGCCGUGAAGGAGGCCACAGGAACGCUUUCAGAGGAGGGCGAGACAGGGUCUGCUUCUGCCACGGCUUGGCCGACAACCCCGUCUCUCUACAGCGUUACCCUCCAUCCCGGAUGAAAAGUGCGAAGCUUUCGCGAGGCCAGAACUUCGGACAACGUCUCCAGGCUCAGGGCAAUCAGCUGGUGUUCACCAACAAGUCAUUCAUUCGGACCUUUGCCUUGGACUCACCCUGCGAAGUCUCUGUGAAGUCCUUCCCCUCCAUCUGGAUUCCAGAUCGAGCGCUGUGGCUAGAAUUCUCGCUGACAGAUGGCUCGCCCCAGCCUCUGGGUCUCCGGGGCCAGCCGCAGUGCUCAGGAGUGGGACAGCGCUG